GGGCAUAUGAGGUAGCACGGAUAUCCUACUGGCCUCCGGAGCCAGUUACUCGGGUUCAAAUCCCGAUAUGCCCG
rnacentral:tRNA from 1 species